UGGCUCAGAUUGAACGCUGGCGGCAGGCUUAACACAUGCAAGUCGAACGAUGACUCUCUAGCUUGCUAGRGAUGAUUAGUGGCGGACGGGUGAGUAACAUUUAGGAAUCUACCUAGUAGUGGGGGAUAGCUCGGGGAAACUCGAAUUAAUACCGCAUACGACCUACGGGUGAAAGGGGGCGCAAGCUCUUGCUAUUAGAUGAGCCUAAAUCAGAUUAGCUAGUUGGUGGGGUAAAGGCCCACCAAGGCGACGAUCUGUAACUGGUCUGAGAGGAUGAUCAGUCACACCGGAACUGAGACACGGUCCGGACUCCUACGGGAGGCAGCAGUGGGGAAUAUUGGACAAUGGGGGCAACCCUGAUCCAGCCAUGCCGCGUGUGUGAAGAAGGCCUUUUGGUUGUAAAGCACUUUAAGCAGGGAGGAGAGGCUAAUGGUUAAUACCCAUUAGAUUAGAC
rnacentral:rRNA from 1 species